AUUCUUUUAACAGGACAUUUCAUUUCAUUUUCUUCAAAAACAAAUAGAUCAACCUUAGCUUUCUCUGCUAGGGUUAUCGAAACACAUCCCCUAAACAGCCGCCAACAAUUGGGCCAGACUACGGCCUCCGACGCUACUCCGGUCCUUCACUGCGACGGAGAGGAUCUCAACGGCACCAAGAAGAAUGUGCAUGGUGGGUGAGGGGCGACGUGCGCAACGUGCGGGGGCGACGUUGGGGCGGUUGCUGCAGGGGGUGGUUACUGCGGCGCCAGUUUGCUACCACUGCUUAGGGUUUCUGCUGUAUUGUUUUUGCUGAGGUCCACACUGUAGUUGGGCUAGGGUUUAGGUUAGUGGGCUAGGUGUUGGGUCAUUUGAAUUUAGGUUAUUUGUAAAAUGGACUGUUUUUUUUAUGUUUAUUUAUUUGGGCCCGGGCUUAAAAUUGGGUAUUACAGAAAUUAUACUUUAUAUUCCAACAUGAAGACAAUAUAUGGGAUUGUGAGAUUACGGGGUACUUGAAAUAUUUUGAAUCCAAACAAUGUCAUUUUGUUCAGAAUGCAUAAAAUAAACAAAAAGCUCUUUAGUUUAA